UAAAUUAAGUUUUGGCUUCACCUUGGUGUAGCAACGGAUCCAACAUUUAACUCUCAAGGAUGAUAAACUACCAAAAACGGAAGCUUACGAAUGAACUUUUUAGUUAUAGAUUUCAGUUGCAGUGCUUGAAUGAAAGACUACUGAUAUAGGAAGCUCAGUUCUUGGGCAAGCAAGCUUCCGAGACAACAUAGACUUAGCAAUGAUCCAAUAGGAACGUUAUUUUUAAAUCAUACAAAUACAAGACGGACGCAAUGAUUUUUAUUUC
rnacentral:sRNA from 1 species